rnacentral:lncRNA from 1 species
GCUCCACCACGGUGAGCGCUGUCCCCGCGGUGUCCCCUGUCACCCCGGGGUGUCCCCCAGGUGUCCCUGUCCCCCCCUAUCCCCAACUGCUCCACCACAGUAAGCACUGUCCCUGGGGUGUCCCCAAGUCACCCUGGGGUGUCCCUGUGCCCCCUGGAGUGCCCCUGUGCCCCCUGGCCCCAACCGCUCCCCCAUGGUGAGCGCUGUCCCCAGGGGUGUCCCUGUGUCACCCCGGCAUGUCCCUGGAGUGUCCCUGUCCCCAACCACUCCCCCACAGUGAGCGCUGUGCCCGGAGUGUCCAUGUGUCACCCCAAAGUGUCCUUGUCCCCAACCGCUCCCCCAUGGUGAGUGCUGUCCCCGGGGUGUCCCCAUGUCACCCUGGGGUGUCCCUGUGUCCCCUGGAGUGUCCCCAGGGUGUCCCCAUCCCCAACUGCUCCCCCACGGUGAGCGCUGUGCCUGGGGUGUCCCUGUGUCACCCCAGGGUGUCCCCGUCCCCAACCGCUCCCCCACGGUGAAGCUCUCGUGCGGCACGGAGACGGCGGUGACGGCCACGACGGAGCCGAGCCGCUGCGAGUACCUCAUGGAGCUGCUGACGCCGGCGGCCUGCCGCGAGCCGCCCUCGCGCGAGGACCACGACGAGCUCUGAGCCAGGUACCGCCGCCCCCCCGCCGCCCCUCGCACCCAGCGGCCCCUCGCACGGGCCCUCGUGCACCCCAGUCCCCCCCCCGCUGCCUCAGUUUCCCCACUCUGGGACAGGGUCUGUGAUGGGGGGGGGGGCAGCCCCUGCCUCAGUUUCCCCUCCGGGGGGGGGUGAUUAUUGCCCCAAGGGGGCAAUUCCUGCCCCUGUUGCCCUGGCAGGGGUCACAGUGGCCCUGGGGGGGGUCAUGGUGGCCCUGGGGGGUCUCUCAUGCUGGUGGGGGGGACGUGUGGCGGAUGAAGGCCCGGACUCGGGAGGGUUUGCGCCCUGAGACCUUCAUCGCUUGGUUCUGAGCGUGUUUGAGGAGUUUGAGCUGCUCCGGGGGUUUCGCGGAGGCGCUUUGCCGAGCCGGUCGUCGCGCGGGUCGUGUCCCGGGGAGCCGGUCGUCGCAGCGGUCGCGCACGCAGCGGUCGUGCCUCGCGCCUUGCUGCUCGCUUAGAAAAGCUGCCUUGCCCUUCGCCUCGGUUCCCCCCGGCUCCUGCUGGUUGAUCCGUACUUUCUCGGGACGGAUCGUUCCCAGCUGCACCGGUGUCCUGGUGUCCUCGGGUCCGUUUGCCUGAGGCUCCUGUUGCUACUUGCAACUUUCUGCCAGUUGAACCCUGUCGUGACCCUCCACGUCUCCCCCUUCCUUUACCAAUUGAAGGGCUGAGGCUGUGUGGAUCUGCAGGGUCACGACUUGCUUCGUGCUGCGGUCAAUCGUCCUUCGCGCGCAGCUCAACAAGCAUCGUACACAGAUUAGUAUUGCAGCAAACGGAAAAAUGACAAUAAGCCCCAGAAUCCGUAUGAGUUUCAACCAAGGCCCUACAGCAAGCAGAUUC